ensembl:miRNA
CAUCCAUUGACCCGGGGUUGUAUUGUAACCAAGCUAUGCAUCUGAGUUGCAUGGGUAUGAUACGACCUGGGUUACGGGA